rnacentral:lncRNA from 1 species
UUAUGUUUUGACUUCUGUAUAGACUCUUCCUGAGCGCUCAGAGUUUAACCUGUUUUUGUUGGAGAAAUGGCCAAAUUGUUUCUGUUAUACUAAAUAACUUGAGUUAAUCCACAUUUGGUCUUCCAUUUUAUGUAUUGGAACCUACAGGACUUUACUCUGCUAACUAAUGAGUGCUAAGGGUAUUUUGCAUGUUGAAGAACCAACCUACCAGACUUGAAGUUGAGAUCCUAUUUUCAAGUCAUUUGUGUGGUUGACAUUAGUAUUUUGCAUGUUGAAGAACCAACCUACCAGACUUGGAGUUGAGAUCCUAUUUUCAUGUCAUUUGUGUGGUUGACAUUAGCAUUUUCCUUCAUAGAUGAAUUGAUAUUCU